rnacentral:misc_RNA from 1 species
UGGCCUUGACAUGUCGAGAACUUUCCAGAGAUGGAUUGGUGCCUUCGGGAACUCGAACACAGGUGCUGCAUGGCUGUCGUCAGCUCGUGUCGUGAGAUGUUGGGUUAAGUCCCGCAACGAGCGCAACCCUUGUCCUUAGUUGCCAGCACGUAAUGGUGGGAACUCUAAGGAGACCGCCGGUGACAAACCGGAGGAAGGUGGGGAUGACGUGUCGUUACCUUA